UCUACGGGAGGCAGCAGUAGGGAAUCUUCCACAAUGGACGAAAGUCUGAUGGAGCAACGCCGCGUGAGUGAAGAAGGGUUUCGGCUCGUAAAACUCUGUUGUUAGAGAAGAACAGCCGUGAUAGCAACUGCUCACGGUAUGACGGUAUCUAACCAGAAAGUCACGGCUAACUACGUGCCAGCAGCCGCGGUAAUA
rnacentral:rRNA from 2 species